rnacentral:misc_RNA from 1 species
CCUACUACCAGUUCUUCAUUUUCAUUUCGUGACUCGAUAGUGUAUACUAACUCGAUUGUACGAGUAAUAAGAUUCGACAAAAAUCUUCUAAUAAACUUACUAGAUACAGCAAAAAGGGAAAAGCCCAUUAUCUCCUCUGCUGUCUUCUUUCAUAAACCGUAAAAGUUUGAUUUCUAAACUUUUGAGCGGUGGUAUAUCUCGAGCGAAGCCUGCCCUAUGCCAUUAUGCCCUUGAAUCUCCAAUUUCGACGGCUAUGGGUUUCGUUUCUUAUUUACAGUGAUUCCACCAUUUGGGGAAGAUAGAAGCCAGGGGGAAGAAAAGAACGAAGAAAUUCUUCUUCUUCGUCUUACCGAUUCGGUUUUAAAAAGUUUCCUCCACGGGAGACGCUUUCACGCGAAAGAUUACAAUUUCCGUGGUAAUCGUCUAACAAUACAGAUGUUUUCACGUCUAAGCGGCGUGCU